ACUCCUGCGGGAGGCAGCAGUGGGGAAUAUUGCACAAUGGGCGCAAGCCUGAUGCAGCCAUGCCGCGUGUAUGAAGAAGGCCUUCGGGUUGUAAAGUACUUUCAGCGGGGAGGAAGGCGAUAAGGUUAAUAACCUUGUCGAUUGACGUUACCCGCAGAAGAAGCACCGGCUAACUCCGUGCCAGCAGCCGCGGUAAUACGGAGGGUGCAAGCGUUAAUCGGAAUUACUGGGCGUAAAGCGCACGCAGGCGGUCUGUCAAGUCGGAUGUGAAAUCCCCGGGCUCAACCUGGGAACUGCAUUCGAAACUGGCAGGCUAGAGUCUUGUAGAGGGGGGUAGAAUUCCAGGUGUAGCGGUGAAAUGCGUAGAGAUCUGGAGGAAUACCGGUGGCGAAGGCGGCCCCCUGGACAAAGACUGACGCUCAGGUGCGAAAGCGUGGGGAGCAAACAGGAUUAGAAACCCGGGUAGUCCC
rnacentral:rRNA from 1 species